rnacentral:rRNA from 1 species
CGGAGGGUGCAAGCGUUGCUCGGAAUUAUUGGGCGUAAAGGGCAAGUAGGUGGUCUCGUUUGUCUAGGGUGAAAGCCUCGAGCUUAACUCAAGAAGUGCCCUAGAAACGGCGAGACUAGAGUUCUGGAGAGGGUCGUGGAAUUCCCGGUGUAGCGGUGAAAUGCGUAGAGAUCGGGAGGAACACCAGAGGCGAAAGCGGCGACCUGGACAGAUACUGACACUCAACUGCGAAAGCGUGGGGAGCAAACAGGAUUAGAUACCCUGGUAGUCCACGCUGUAAACGAUGGGUACUAGGUUUGGUGGGUCUUGACCCCCGCCGAACCGGCGCUAACGCACUAAGUACCCCGCCUGGGAAGUACGGUCGCAAGACUA